CUAGACCUGAAAUCAGUCGAGGACACCCGCUGAAUUUAAGCAUAUUAUUAAGCGGAGGAAAAGAAAAUAACUAUGAUUCCCUUAGUAACGGCGAGUGAAGAGGGAGGUGCUCAAAGUGAAAAUCGUGGUACCUCUUAUGGUACCGCGAGUUGUAGCCUCUAGAGGCGUUACCAGUGGAGGGGCAGGUCUAAGUUUCUU
rnacentral:rRNA from 1 species